rnacentral:rRNA from 1 species
UACGAGUGCCCCAAGCGUUAUCCGGAAUUAUUGGGCGUAAAGGGUGUGUAGGCGGUCUAGUUAGUCUUCUGUCAAAUUCUUCGGCUUAACCGGGGGUCCGCAGGGGAAACGGCUAGACUCGAGGAUGCGAGAGGUGAAUGGAACUCAUAGUGUAGGGGUGAAAUCCGUUGAUAUUAUGGGGAACACCAAAAGCGAAGGCAAUUCACUGGCGCACUCCUGACGCUGAAACACGAAAGCGUGGGUAGCGAAUGGG